GACGAACGCUGGCGGCGUGCUUAACACAUGCAAGUCGAACGGAAAGGCCCUGCUUUUGUGGGGUGCUCGAGUGGCGAACGGGUGAGUAACACGUGAGUAACCUGCCCUUGACUUUGGGAUAACUUCAGGAAACUGGGGCUAAUACCGGAUAGGAGCUCCUGCUGCAUGGUGGGGGUUGGAAAGUUUCGGCGGUUGGGGAUUGACUCGCGGCUUAUCAGCUUGUUGGUGGGGUAGUGGCUUACCAAGGCUUUGACGGGUAGCCGGCCUGAGAGGGUGACCGGCCACAUUGGGACUGAGAUACGGCCCAGACUCCUACGGGAGGCAGCAGUGGGGAAUAUUGAACAAUGGACGGAAGCCUGAUGCAGCAACGCCGCGUGCGGGAUGACGGCCUUCGGGUUGUAAACCGCUUUCGCCUGUGACGAAGCGUGAGUGACGGUAAUGGGUAAAGAAGCACCGGCUAACUACGUG
rnacentral:rRNA from 1 species